rnacentral:rRNA from 1 species
UACGUAGGGGCCUAGCGUUGUCCGGAUUUAUUGGGCGUAAAGAGCUCGUAGGCGGCACGGUUAGUCAGGUGUGAAAUCUCCACGCUCAACGUGGAGGGGUCACCUAAUACUGCCGAGCUUAAGUCCGGUAGGGGAGACUGGAAUUCCUGGUGUAGCGGUGAAAUGCGCAGAUAUCAGGAGGAACACCGGUGGCGAAGGCGGGUCUCUGGGCCGAUACUGACGCUGAGGAGCGAAAGCGUGGGGAGCGAACAGG